UACGGAGGGUGCAAGCGUUGUCCGGAAUUAUCGGGUGUAAAGGGUGCGCAGGCGGAAGCCUACGUCGGAGGUGAAAUCUUACCGCUUAACGGAAAAAUUGCAUUCGAUACUGGGUUUCUUGAGUCCAGAAGAGGUCGGUGGAAUUCGUGGUGUAGCGGUGAAAUGCAUAGAGAUCACGAAGAACACCAGUGGCGAAGGAGGCCGACUGGCCUGGAACUGACGCUGAGGCACGAAAGCGUGGGGAGCGAACAGG
rnacentral:misc_RNA from 1 species